rnacentral:rRNA from 1 species
UACGUAGGCAGCGAGCGUUGUUCGGAGUUACUGGGCGUAAAGGGUGUGUAGGCGGCUCUUUAAGUUUGGUGUGAAAUCUCCCGGCUCAACCGGGAGGGUGCGCCGAAUACUGCGGGACUAGAGUACGGGAGAGGAAAGUGGAAUUCCUGGUGUAGCGGUGAAAUGCGUAGAUAUCAGGAGGAACACCGGUGGUGUAGACGGCUUUCUGGACCGUAACUGACGCUGAGACACGAAAGCGUGGGUAGCAAACAGG